CGUAGUAGGCACUCUAGCGAGACUGCCGGUAAUAAACCGGAGGAAGGUGGGGAUGACGUCAAAUCAUCAUGCCCCUUAUGACCUGGGCUACACACGUGCUACAAUGGUUGGUACAACGAGUUGCGAGUCGGUGACGGCGAGCUAAUCUCUUAAAGCCAAUCUCAGUUCGGAUUGUAGGCUGCAACUCGCCUACAUGAAGUCGGAAUCGCUAGUAAUCGCGGAUCAGCACGCCGCGGUGAAUACGUUCCCGGGCCUU
rnacentral:rRNA from 1 species